rnacentral:rRNA from 1 species
UUAAGAUACCUUGGUAGUCCACCCGUAACGAUGAGUGUUAGUGUGGGGGUCAAACCUUCGGUGCGCCAGUUAACGCCAUAAAGCANUCCGCCUGGGGGAGUACGUUACGCAAGUAUGAAACUCAAAGGAAUUGACGGGACCCGCACAAGCAGCGGAGCAUGUGGUUUAAUUCGAAGCAACGCGAAGAACCUUACCAGGGCUUGACAUGCCACUGACCGGUCUAGAGAUAGAUUUUUAUCCUUCGGGUACAGUGGACACAGGUGGUGCAUGGUUGUCGUCAGCUCGUGUCGUGAGAUGUUGGGUUAAGUCCCGCAACGAGCGCAACCCUUGUCUUUAGUUGCCAUCAUUAAGUUGGGCACUCUAAAGAGACUGCCGAUGACAAAUCGGAGGAAGGUGGGGAUGACGUCAAAUCAUCAUGCCCUUUAUGUCCUGGGCUACACACGUGCUACAAUGGUCGGUACAACGAGAAGCAAGCCAGCGAUGGCAAGCAAAUCUCUAAAAGCCGAUCCCAGUUCGGAUUGCAGGCUGCAACUCGCCUGCAUGAAGUCGGAGUUGCUAGUAAUCGCGGAUCAGAAUGCCGCGGUGAAUGCGUUCCCGGGUCUUGUACACACCGCCCGUCACACCAUGGGAGUUGUCAAUACCCGAAGCCAGUGAGCUAACCAGUAAUGGAGGCAGCUGUCGAAGGUAGGGGCAAUGACUGGGGUGAAGUCGUAACAAGGUAACC